rnacentral:lncRNA from 1 species
AUAAGUUAUAGCAUAACGCAUCAUCAAUUUCUUCCUUCUUUGUUUCUUGAAUUGCAAUAAAAUCAACAUCAUUAUUCACAAUUAAACUCCUAACACCCCUCGAUUUCACUCUACCCCCAAGACCCCUAACAUUUAUAGACAAACAAAUCAUGGGCAACCAUCUUCAUCCCUUGGAUUGUUUUCAAUGAAACCAAUCUUAUCUCUCUUCUCUAAGUCUCCAAUUUUCAGAAUAAUAUCAAAAUCAGGGCCAUCAUAGGAAACACCCAUACACUUACGAAUUUCCCACACCUUGCUAGCAACAUCUUCAUAGUCUUUAAAGUGGAGUAAAUUAACAGCCCGGACAUUUGAGUUAGAAAUGGAGUUGCUGAUCGAAAAAUCCACCUUAUUGUCUCCACUUUCAGUCCUCAAAGCAGUGUGCAACAACUUUUUAUUAUGUAUGUCAUCACAACCCGCCAACAAUCGUUUAGACUCUCCAUUCCCAUUCCUUUUCGUUUUGUGCUUGGCAAUUUGAGAAGAAUUUUUUUUUUAUUGCGGAAGG